rnacentral:lncRNA from 1 species
ACAAAAAUAUAAUUAACAUCUUAUUAUAAGAAUAAUAAUAUGGAAUACCUCAUAUCUAUUAGGGUAAAGACAACAUUGCUCUUGUUGUUAGAUAGGGUCAUCGGUGUCUGAAUGAUUUCAUGAACUGCUCCAAUAACAUUUACGAAUAAACCACAUUGUUAUAGAAAUAAAAUAACAAAAUCCAAUUUAUUUCAAAUGAAAACAAUCAUAAUUUCAAUACUUAAAUUUCCAAUUAAGAAUUCAGUUUGAAACUUUCCAGCAUAUAUCAUUAAAAAUAAUCAAGUUCAUAUGAUUAUGAGGAAUGUACGGAAAAUCUAUGAAUUUUACAGAAGAUGCACCACAAAAGAUCAAAUUUGAACUUAUGAGCAGAUGCGUUGAAGGAGAAAUCAUUCUUAGCAACCUUAAAAUUCGGCAUAAUAUAUGUAUUUCCUACAAUAAGAGUAUACUUAUGUUUUUGUACCAAACGCGGUGGUACACUGACUUAAACCAUGUGAUACUAUAAAAUCAUACAAAGAAAUAAACACUAUGAGAUACAAAAGCCUAUUUAUGUUUGAAAAAAUAUAUAUAGUUAUCCGGAUAACCAAAAAACAGGUUACUUUUGCAUCCAUUAAAACCAUUUACAAGUGUUCUUUGUUGAAAAUGCUUGUCACAGGCCAUAAAUCUUUAAUCCUAUCCUAACAGCAAGCUUCCAUAAUUUCUUGGGAUCAUUGAUAUCCUUCACAUUGUGAAUUGGAUGUUCCAUUGAUAACAAAGUUGACCUGAUAAUGAUAAUAAACAAACUCAUUAUUACAGAAGAUAAAACAAACUAAUUUCUAUGAUUUUUUACGGUAUUUUGAUAACAAACAAACACAAUAUUACAGAACAUGAAAGCAAACCAAUAAAACACAAAAGACAUACACAGUCAAAAAAAUCAUAACAAACCCAAUUAAAUAGUAAAUCCAGUGAAAAGAAAAAACGGACAUUCAACUGCAUUUGUAAACAACAAUAAACACAACACGUAAACAAUUAUCAAACUACUCAUUUGAACUUCAAAAACACACCAUUAAUAACUAAAGGAGAAAUAAAUAAUAAAAGAAAAUGUUUUAUAUCUUACCCGUGACAGAAAGGGAUGAAUUUGUGAUCGUAAAUCAUCAAGGAGUGUUAAUGGUAGAAGAAUGUGGAAGGCGGAAGUUGAAUGGUAGCAACUGAGUUAUAUGUUGUGAAUGAACGGAUGAGUUGUUGUAUGAUAUGAAUGAAUUGAAGCAAAAAUUUGGUAUGACUGUGUGUAGCUGAAAUAUUAAGACAUAUAGUUUCAUCUUUGUUUCGACUUCCUAAUGAAAAAUUGUAGCUACUCAAAGUGACUUUUAAAUUACUUUAAGAUGUAUUUGAAAAAUGUUAAGUUGUGCAAAUAAAUUAUGCACAUCGAACAUAAAAUGCAAUAAUGAAAAUGAUAAAAAUUAAUAGUUAAUUUGGAUUAAAAGAUAAAAAGUUUGUAUUAAUUAGCCUAAAAGUAAUUUGCCAUAACUGACCCUUGAAAAUAAUCAAUUUGAACUAAAGUUAAAAAGGGUGUAAAAGUGUUUUUUUGGUAGCAUGUAACUUUUAUAAUCAAUUUGAACUAAAGUUAGAAAGGGUGUAAAAGUGUUUUUGGUAGCAUGUAACUUUUAUAGAUAGAUAUUAG